CCCUCAGGGCACCAGCCAGCAAAUGGGAGAGAAGGGGUUUUGCUCCGGUGGGGAACUCUGCAAAAACACACCACAAAAGGAUUGAAAACUUUCCCCGGGAGGCUCCAGCCACUUCAGGUCAAGUCGUUCGGCUAAACACCAGCGUUAAUGAAGGGCUGGCAACAGUUGCCACACCAGUUCUCAGUACAUAAUAACCUGCCUUUCAGAUCAAGGAGCAGUACCUCUUUACAAGGUGUUGGACAAGUAAUGGGAAGAUGAAGGGAUAAAGCUAGACCUCGGUGGCCCCUCUGCUCUCCCUAGAUUUUUAAGUGAAGUAUCUAUAUGCAUGAAAGACUUUGCAGACCUUUGGGUGGCUAUAAGGGCCUCAGACAGGCUGCUAAGCCUGGCCUAGCAGAGAACAAGCGAGGCAGCAGCUCGAAAGGUUUGGCUCGUACUUGCAGGAUUUUUGAGCAUGGGAAGGAGGAACCAUUACACCACAAAAGCUGAUGCCAGUAGAUGAGGGUCCUGGAACUGGAAGCCCCCAGCACAGCGCACUCUAGUCCUCUACUUUGUACAGUAACUUUAACAGCAGAAAUGUGGAAGACUGUCAGUGACUCCUGAGGCUUCUUCUUAUGAAAACAGAAAGGUUACUGAUAGUUAGGAAACCUGUUAUGGUCUCCUGGUGAGGAACCCGUAUCAGGCUAAAUCGAAGGUAUCACCAUAAUCUCACUGAUUUACAGAAAUAAUAACAUGUUGCUUCUCUACUGCGCACAAAGGAAAUAAUCCUCUGCAUUUUUUAACACAAGGUGGUUUCAUGUCUGUAUGAUUUCUAGGUAACUAGUUAAACUGAAACUGUCUCUUGGGUACAAGGAAAUAGUGAGAUUAUUUAAGAAACUUGUGAAAGUGGCCUAAGAGACAAAAUAGAAUAAUUUCAAUAAUUUCACAGUGCAGGGUCCAAUUCCUACCAACAUUACAUAAAUGAACCAGUGCAAUAUAACAAUGAAUACUACAUAUAUUUGGUUGCCGUGUUCCAGUGAAAAUUGAAGAACAAUUGCUGAUAAAAUCAGAAUGUUGCUGGAAAAAGACAGUCACCCUUCUGAAUUCAGAUCAAUUUCAUUUCGCUCUUUCAAUUUAGCGCAAAAUUUCCAAGCAGAAUCACUUUGAUAAACAGUGAAUCACACGAAUAUGCAGUCUUCAAUAGAGAUACAUCAGGCUGUUCACCCAUGUCCACUGUAUAUAUUAUAUUCUGAAAGUUGCAUUAAAAUAUUCAUGGUUCACUGGAGACAAAUGAAAAAAUGAUUAAGUUGGGUAUUUGGAGAAAAUGUGUAACUGACAAAUGUCAAAGAUGCAGUCUGGCAUGGGGAUGCACUGCUGAGAGGUGAAAGUAAGCAGGAGGUGUCCAAAGCAUAACUCCCAUGACACACUGUGGUGGCACUUCUAAACUACACUAUUAGCUAGUAUGAAGAUACCAGUAAAAGAAAAAAAAAAUCAAAAGUGGGAGUACUUUCACAUAUAUAUAUGUACUGAAAUGUACACAAUUUUAGCAGUUCAUAACAGUUUUAACUGCGCAUACAUAUAGCUGCAUAUAUUCCAUACUUGCUUUACAGUCAUAAAGACAGAAUCUAUUUUGCCAGCAGAAGGGUUAGUGAAUUUUCAGAAAAGAAAAGAAAAGAAAAGAAACGAGACUUUAGAUCAUUCUGUUGAGAUGAUAACACCUAAAAUGUCCUGUGAUUGGAGAACUGUGGGCCUUUGGGGGUACUAAGAUGUUGUUGCUGUUUGAAAUGUCAAAGUAUCGUGAAUAAAAGCCUUGCCAAACAUGUAGUCCUCAGAUGUAGAGGCUGCACAGUGUCACAUUCGCAGUUUCAGACACUGAAACUUUAAAAUGUAAAGAAAUAAUUUCUUAGCCAUAAGAUGUGUACAAAUCUGUGCUGAUUUGCAGCUCUUUGCAAAAUAUGUCAUAGAUUUGCUGUGUUUUAAAAAAUAAAAUCUGAUUCAGACAA